rnacentral:rRNA from 1 species
UUCCGGUUGAUCCUGCCGGACCCUAUUGCUAUCGGGACAGGACUAAGACAUGCUAGUUUUGCGUGCUAGACGCGGCGCACAGCUCAGUAACACGUGGCCAACCUGCCCUUAGGACAAGUAUAACCCCGGGAAACUGGGGAUAAUUCUUGAUAGGUGAGGAAUUCUGGAAUGAGUCUUCGCCUAAAGCUUCUGUGCCUAAGGAUGGGGCCGCGGCCGAUCAGGUUGUUGGUGAGGUAACGGCUCACCAAGCCUAUAACCGGUACGGGCCGUGAAAGCGGAAGCCCGGAGAUGGGCACUGAGACAAGGGCCCAGGCCCUACGGGGCGCAGCAGUCGCGAAAACUUUGCAAUACACGAAAGCGUGACGGGGCUACCCCGAGUGCCGUCCGCUGAGGAUGGCUUUUCCCCGGUGUAAUGAGCCGGGGGAAUAAGGAGAGGGCAAGUCUGGUGUCAGCCGCCGCGGUAAUACCAGCUCUCCGAGUGGUAGGGAUGAUUAUUGGGCUUAAAGCGUCCGUAGCCGGCUUAGCAAGUCUCCUGUUAAAUUCAGCGACUUAAUCGUUGAGCCGCGGGAGAUACUACUAGGCUAGGAGGCGGAAGAGGCCGACGGUAUUCUCGGGGUAGGGGUGAAAUCCUAUAAUCCCGGGAGGACCACCAGUGGCGAAGGCUGUCGGCUAGAACGCGCCCGACGGUGAGGGAUGAAAGCUGGGGGAGCGAACCGGAUUAGAUACCCGGGUAGUCCCAGCUGUAAACGAUGCAGGCUAGGUGUUUGGGCGGCCACGAGCCGCUCUAGUGCCGCAGGGAAGUCGUUAAGCCUGCCGCCUGGGGAGUACGGCCGCAAGGCUGAAACUUAAAGGAAUUGGCGGGGGAGCACCACAAGGGGUGAAGCUUGCGGUUUAAUUGGAUUCAACGCCGGA